GACCAACGCUGGCGGCAUGCCUAACACAUGCAAGUCGAACGGACAGAACAGGGAAGCUUUUCGGAGUGGAACUGGAAAGUUAGUGGCGGAUGGGUGAGUAACGCGUGGACAACCUACCUUGUAAAGGGGAAUAACCUCGAGAAAUCGAAGCUAAUACCCCAUAAUAACCUUGCCUCGCAUGAAGUAAGGAGGAAAGGCGGCCUUAGCGCUGUCGAUACAAGAUGGGUCCGCGUCUGAUUAGCUAGUUGGUGAGGUAAAGGCUCACCAAGGCGACGAUCAGUAGCCGGCCUGAGAGGGUGAACGGCCACAUUGGGACUGAGACACGGCCCAAACUCCUACGGGAGGCAGCAGUGGGGAAUCUUCCGCAAUGGGCGAAAGCCUGACGGAGCAAUGCCGCGUGAGUGAAGAAGGCCUUCGGGUUGUAAAACUCUGUCCUUAUCGAAGAGAGAGUGUUGUAGUAACUGACAAUACUAGGACGGUAGAUGAGGAGGAAGCCCCGGCUAACUAUGUG
rnacentral:rRNA from 1 species